rnacentral:lncRNA from 1 species
CCGGGGCAAAAAAAGAGUAUAUUGAUAUUGUGUCCUGAUUCCAAAUGACGUGACGUCAUCGCGUCCUUUACGACACGUUUGUGAUAAACUGUGUAAGAUUUUACCUUUUAUGUUUCAUUAAAUUGUUAUAAUUGACCUUUUUUUCUCUUUUUUGCAAAACUUAAAUAUGUGAUAAAAAGAUUAUAACAUGUCUUUUCCAUAUUGGCCCGGGUAUCAUCCCUCGACCCAUAUCGGCCCUCGGCUAAAGCCUCGAGGCCGAUAUGGGAGUCUCGGGA